rnacentral:rRNA from 1 species
UACGAAGGGGGCUAGCGUUGCUCGGAAUUACUGGGCGUAAAGCGCACGUAGGCGGCUUUCUAAGUCGGGGGUGAAAUCCUGGAGCUCAACUCCAGAACUGCCUUCGAUACUGGAGAGCUCGAGUCCGGGAGAGGUGAGUGGAACUGCGAGUGUAGAGGUGAAAUUCGUGGAUAUUCGCAAGAACACCAGUGGCGAAGGCGGCUCACUGGCCCGGUACUGACGCUGAGGUGCGAAAGCGUGGGGAGCAAACAGG